UCAGUUAUUAGCAUAAGUCAGUCAGUUUAGCUAGAAAAUUAGUUUAACAGAUAUACAGUCAAAUUUGGUAGGGGUUGUUCUUCUAUCUUUCCAUCCAGCCAUACUAACGGACAUCUCGAGGAUGUAACCAUCUCCAAGAUGGAUCAUACUAGUAUAAGCAAGCUUAGCUUAGUUUAUGUAUCAUGUCUCAGAUACGGAUUCCAG
rnacentral:lncRNA from 1 species